AAAAACUUAGGAUAAACUAAACCAAGAGCCUUCAAAGCUCAAAAAAGGGGUGUAACCCCCCUAGUUUUUG
rnacentral:tRNA from 1 species